rfam:Methylobacterium nodulans ORS 2060, complete genome.
GAGCACUGCCCAUCGUGGGCGUUUCCUCCCUGACUGGCCCCCUCUCCCGGUGCGGAGAGGGGGGCUUUUUGGGGCCGC